AUUGAACGCUGGCGGCAGGCCUAACACAUGCAAGUCGAGCGAGCGGCGGACGGGUGAGUAAUGUCUGGGGAACUGCCUGAUAUAGGGGGAUAACUACUGGAAACGGUAGCUACUACCGCAUACUAUCAGAUGUGCCCAGAUGGGAUGAGCUGGUAGGUGGGGUAACGGCUCACCUAGGCGACGAUCCCUUGCUGGUCUGAGAGGAUGAUCAGCCACACUGGAACUGAGACACGGUCCAGACUCCUACGGGAGGCAGCAGUGGGGAAUAUUGCACAAUGGGCGCAAGCCUGAUGCAGCCAUGCCGCGUGUAUGAAGAAGGCCUUCGGGUUGUAAAGUACUUUCAGCGGGGAGGCGUUACCCGCAGAAGAAGCACCGGCUAACUCCGUGCCAGCAGCCGCGGUAAUUC
rnacentral:rRNA from 1 species